AGUGAACGCUGGCGGUAGGCCUAACACAUGCAAGUCGAACGGCAGCACAGUAAGAGCUUGCUCUUACGGGUGGCGAGUGGCGGACGGGUGAGGAAUACAUCGGAAUCUACUUUUUCGUGGGGGAUAACGUAGGGAAACUUACGCUAAUACCGCAUACGACCUACGGGGGAAAGCAGGGGAUCGUCGGACCUUGCGCGAUUGAAUGAGCCGAUGUCGGUUUAGCUAGUUGGCGGGGUAAAGGCCCACCAAGGCGACGAUCCGUCGCUGGUCUGCGAGGAUGAUCAGCCACACUGGAACUGAGACACGGUCCAGACUCCUACGGGAGGCACCCGUGGGGAAUAUUGGGCCAUGGGCGCAGGCCUGAUCCAGCCAUACCGCGUGGGUGAAGAAGGCCUUCGGGUUGUAAAGCCCUUUUGUUGGGAAAGAAAAGCAGCAGGUUAAUACCCCGCUGUUCUGACGGUACCCAAAGAAUAAGCACCGGCUAACUUCGUG
rnacentral:rRNA from 1 species